CCUACGGGAGGCAGCAGUGGGGAAUAUUGCACAAUGGGGGAAACCCUGAUGCAGCGACGCCGCGUGAGUGAAGAAGUAUUUCGGUAUGUAAAGCUCUAUCAGCAGGGAAGAAAAUGACGGUACCUGAUUAAGAAGCCCCGGCUAACUACGUGCCAGCAGCCGCGGGAAUACGUAGGGGGCAAGCGUUAUCCGGAUUUACUGGGUGUAAAGGGAGCGUAGACGGCAGCACAAGUCUGGAGGGAAAUGCCGGGGCUUAACCCCGGAACUGCUUUGGAAACUGUGCAGCUAGAGUGCAGGUGAGGUGAGUGAAAUGCCUAGUGUAGCGGUGAAAUGCGUAGAUAUUAGGGGGAACACCAGUGGCGAAGGCGGCUUACUGGACUGUAACUGACGUUGAGGCUCGAAAGCGUGGGGAGCAAACAGGAUUAGAUCCCCUUGUAGUC
rnacentral:rRNA from 1 species